rnacentral:rRNA from 1 species
AUUGAACGCUGGCGGCAUGCCUUACACAUGCAAGUCGAACGGCAGCACGGGUGCUUGCACCUGGUGGCGAGUGGCGAACGGGUGAGUAAUACAUCGGAACAUGUCCUGUAGUGGGGGAUAGCCCGGCGAAAGCCGGAUUAAUACCGCAUACGCUCCACGGAUGAAAGCGGGGGACCUUCGUGCCUCGCGCUAUAGGGUUGGCCGAUGGCUGAUUAGCUAGUUGGUGGGGUCAAGGCCUACCAAGGCGACGAUCAGUAGCUGGUCUGAGAGGACGACCAGCCACACUGGGACUGAGACACGGCCCAGACUCCUACGGGAGGCAGCAGUGGGGAAUUUUGGACAAUGGGCGAAAGCCUGAUCCAGCAAUGCCGCGUGUGUGAAGAAGGCCUUCGGGUUGUAAAGCACUUUUGUCCGGAAAGAAAUCCUUGACUCUAAUACAGUCGGGGGAUGACGGUACCGGAAGAAUAAGCACCGGCUAACUACGUG